AAUCCUGGUUGAAGAUGGGUGGACCAUCAUCCAAGGCUAAAUACUACUUACUGACCGAUAGUGAACCAGUACCGUGAGGGAAAGGUGAAAAGAACCCCGGAGAGGGGAGUGAAAUAGAAUCUGAAACCGUUUGCGUACAAGCAGUGGGAGCAUGGUUUAGGCUGUGUGACUGCGUACCUUUUGUAUAAUGGGUCAGCGAGUUACUUUCAGUGGCGAGGUUAACUGAAUAAGGGAGCCGUAGAGAAAUCGAGUCUGAAUAGGGCGAUAGUCGCUGGGAGUAGACCCGAAACCGGGCGAUCUAGCCAUGUGCAGGAUGAAGGUUGGGUAACACCAACUGGAGGUCCGAACCGGGUAAUGUUGAAAAAUUAUCGGAUGACGUGUGGCUAGGAGUGAAAGGCUAAUCAAGCCCGGAGAUAGCUGGUUCUCCCCGAAAGCUAUUUAGGUAGCGCCUCGUGAAUGAUUACUGGGGGUAGAGCACUGUUUCGGCUAGGGGGCUGUCAUGGCUUACCAAACCGAUGCAAACUCCGAAUACCGGCUAAUUGAAUCACGGGAGACACACGGCGGGUGCUAACGUCCGUCGUGGAGAGGGAAACAACCCAGACCGCCAGCUAAGGUCCCCAAGUACUAGUUAAGUGGGAAACGAUGUGGGAAGGCAUAGACAGCCAGGAGGUUGGCUUAGAAGCAGCCACCCUUUAAAGAAAGCGUAAUAGCUCACUGGUCGAGUCGGCCUGCGCGGAAGAUGUAACGGGGCUAAAACUAGUCACCGAAGCUGCGGAUGUGCGCGAAGGCGCACGUGGUAGGGGAGCGUUCUGUAGGCUGAUGAAGGUGCAUUGAGAAGUGUGCUGGAGGUAUCAGAAGUGCGAAUGCUGACAUGAGUAACGAUAAUGUGGGUGAAAAGCCCACACGCCGGAAGUCCCAGGUUUCCUGCACGACGUUAAUCGGAGCAGGGUGAGUCGGCCCCUAAGGCGAGGCUGAAGAGCGUAGUCGAUGGGAACCAGGUUAAUAUUCCUGGACUUUUUAUAAGUGGUGAAGUGGGGACGAAGAAGGCUAGGUGAGCCAGGCGUUGGUUGUCCUGGUACUUGCAUGUAGGGGGGAAGACUUGGCAAAUCCGGUUUUCCAUAACUCUGAGGUGCGAAGUGGUUCUGACCUUUUGGUACAGAGAAGUCAUUGAUGCCCGGCUUCCAGGAAAAGCUGCUAGCCAUAACUUAUAGAGAACCGUACCGCAAACCGACACAGGUGGACAGGUAGAGAAUACUAAGGCGCUUGAGAGAACUCGGGUGAAGGAACUAGGCAAAAUGGUACCGUAACUUCGGGAGAAGGUACGCCCUUUCUGGUGAUGGGAUUUACUUUCAGAGCUGGAGAGGGCCGCAGAGACCAGGUGGCUGCGACUGUUUAUUAAAAACACAGCACUCUGCAAAUUCGUAAGAAGACGUAUAGGGUGUGACGCCUGCCCGGUGCCGGAAGGUUAAUUGAUGGGGUUAUCUUCGGAGAAGCUCUUGAUCGAAGCCCCGGUAAACGGCGGCCGUAACUAUAA
rnacentral:rRNA from 1 species